GGGAGCCCAACAGCUGAUUUUAAUAAAAGAACCAUGGAAAUAAUAUUCGAAACAAACACAAAGCAUCAGCCAUCUCCAGCAAAGGAGCUGGCAUGCAAAUCCAGAUUAUCUUCCCCACCUGGCCACCCUCAUGCUGGCCUGGGAGCUCACAGCAUUCAGCACACAGGUUCAAUCUUGACGGGAUAAGCCUGCUUGUGUUUCAGAGCUGGGUGGCAGACAGGCCACUGGUGCAAUUCUGUGUCUCACGCCCUGGGGGAUUGUUCACUGUGCCUCAGCCCUCCUACCAGAGAGCUUAUUCAUGAGACAGGGACUCCUACAGGGAAUUCCUACUCUUCAUAUUUGUUCUCUGCUAAACCAGAGGAGACACAUCUUGCUCUAGAGUUCCCCAGAACCUGCUCUUCUGGGUCAGCCUCCUGCUGUCUUAUUCUUCCAUCUUUUCUCCACCUAUGCCCAAAGCACAACCAAGGUCACUUUGUUUCUUGAGCUGAGUUCACGCUGGAGCAUGCAAUGCAACAGAGCUUCUAUUUCCUGGCAGAUGGACCAUGAGCCUGGGCCAGAGAAUCUGGUGCUGAGCUGCUGCAGUCAGCUGAGCUGCUUACGUAACCUGAAGGCUCUCCUGGGAGGACCAUGCUGUGAAAGGCAGCUCUGGUUUGCUUCCCCUCAGAUAAUGUUUAUAUGGCCUUUUGGUCAGAGAAGAAGCAAAGAUAAUCCCCCUGACCCUCAGGUUGAGGAGACACAGAUCGGCCUUUGCUGAGGGUAGCACAGCAAAUGAGGAUGCAUCUCCCAGCAGGGUCAAAUGCAAACAAAAAUGCUGUGAGACGCAGGACAUCAGGGGCAUCCCAGGGCCUGAAUAUUCUUACUCUGACCAGAGCCGGCUCCGGGCAGCUGUCAGCCAUGCCUUAAAAAUCAGAAGUCUGCACACUUUUUCCGUAAAGGGCCAGGUAUUAAAUCUUUCAGGUUCAUGGGCCACAUGUGGUCUCAGAUGCAACUACCCAGCACUGCCAUUGUGGCAUGGAAGCAGCCAUAGAGACUUUGUAAAUGAAUGGGCACGGUGGCAUUCCAAUAAAACUUCAUUUACAAAAACAAGCCAUGGGCUGGAUUUGGACUAUGAGUUAUACUUUGCCAACACCUGGUUUAAAUUAAAUCUGAACUUCCCUCGGAG
rnacentral:lncRNA from 10 species